rnacentral:rRNA from 1 species
UGCAAGUCGAGCGAUGAAGCACCUUCGGGUGUGAAUUAGCGGCGAACGGGUGAGGAACACGUGAAGAAUCUGCCUUCAACUCUGGGAUAACUCCGGGAAACCGGGGCUAAUACCGGAUAUGAGCCUUGAUCGCAUGAUCGGGGCUGGAAAGUUUUUCGGUUGAAGAUGACUUCGCGGCCUAUCAGCUUGUUGGUGAGGUAAUGGCUCACCAAGGCGACGACGGGUAGCCGGCCUGAGAGGGCGACCGGCCACACUGGGACUGAGACACGGCCCAGACUCCUACGGGAGGCAGCAGUAGGGAAUAUUGGGCAAUGGGCGCAAGCCUGACCCAGCGACGCCGCGUGAGGGAUGAAGGUCUUCGGAUUGUAAACCUCUUUCAGUAGGGAAGAAGCGAAAGUGACGGUACCUAAAGAAGAAGCACCGGCUAACUAUGUGCCAGCAGCCGCGGUAAUACAUAGGGUGCAAGCGUUGUCCGGAAUUAUUGGGCGUAAAGAGCUCGUAGGUCGUUUGUCGCGUCGAUUGUGAAAAUCUGAGGCUCAACCUCAGACCUGCAGUCGAUACGGGCAAACUAGAGUGUGGUAGGGGAGACUGGAAUUCCUGGUGUAGCGGUGGAAUGCGCAGAUAUCAGGAGGAACACCAAUGGCGAAGGCAGGUCUCUGGGCCAUAACUGACACUGAGGAGCGAAAGUGCGGGGAGCGAACAGGAUUAGAUACCCUGGUAGUCCGCACCGUAAACGGUGGGCACUAGUUGUGGGAACCUUCCACGGUUUCCGCGACGCAGCAAACGCAUUAAGUGCCCCGCCUGGGGAGUACGAUCGCAAGAUUAAAACUCAAAGGAAUUGACGG